AGCCAACUCGCCAUGCAUAUCUACCAAUACUUUCUUUAACUCAUCAAAUUCUCCCCUAGAUACGUAGUCGGACAUCGUACGCACUGCUGGGAAGAUGAUCGGACCUUGAAUCUGAUACCACCUAAUGUAUUCGAAAAUUAAAAGAAAGAUGUACCGUUGUGAAGAUCAGCCCGGAAGCAAUCCAGCGAGAGGUGCAACAAUAAAAGAAAUGAAGAUCGAGGAGUAGUGCUGAUUGAGCAGCAACGAUAGCUAGACGAAGAAGAUCGUCGUCGAGUGAACCUGAGGAAGUGAAAGGAGAUUAAAUUGGAGUCCACCAACCUUUAGCCGGAAUCCACCGGAGAAGAAAGAAGGAUACUGGAAGGUAAUAAUCUCAAAAGGAAAUAAAAUAUAUUCUACUUUAUU
rnacentral:lncRNA from 1 species